AGGGAACGCAUUUACCAAUAAAGAAGUAAAGGCCUUACUCUAGCUGUCUGGACACGUUAUCCGACUUAAGACCUCUGGGCAGGACCCGGCACAGGUGUCAUGGAGUGUGGGGCCUCUGGCGGAGGGAGCAACUUAGGGAGCGUUGCAGUGGUUUGUUUACAAACAAGAGGGGUGGUGUUUAAGUACAGCCGGAACCUACCGAGGUACAGCUCAACACGCGCCUGCUAGCGACCUUACCUUUGGUUCACAUUCAAGAACUCUACGCCUAUCCAGGCAUUUAUUUUAUGUGAAUUGAAUAAAUAUAUUUGUCUGUGUGUUUUCAUUAUCAUAUGAAAAAAAUGAUAAUAGUAAUAAAUGGAAAAUGAUGAAGAUGAUGUGGAUAUAAUUGUUUCAGCAGUUUCAAAUUCAAUCUACCUGAUAUAAUCUGUAAAUAUUGCCCUUGGUAUUGCUUUGACGAUUUUCUUUGGUACCUGAAAACAUUUAGAAGUGAAUUGGUUUAAAAGCUUUGCAAACGUACCUAGUAUUAACAAAACGAUGGUAUUUGAGUACUUUAAAGUCUAAAAUCUUUAAAAUAUUUAGAAUAUUUCUAUAAACGCACAUUUAUAAAGUGUAACCGAAAAACCAGCUUUUUAAAUUUUAUUGCUAAAUUUUGUUCUAUGUCACGAUAAUUUCUUUUUACUUUACAACAAAUUUGUUCAUCCUCCGGAAUAUCAUUUCCUCACUUAUCAUAAUGUAAUUCAAACCUUUUUGGACGGUUUUUUGGUUUUUCGCAACCGCUAA